GACACCACUGAAAAUGACCGUUUCCUUAAACAGUGCGCUGUGUAAUAGAGUUGAUUUAGAACACUGUGAACAGUCUGAAGGGGAACGAGGAAAUAAUAGAAAGAAUCAAACUAGUUUAGCAAGUGACCUGCACACAGUCACAUUACUGUGGCAACCUAUACAAUGACAUGUUCAUUCCAGGAAGAUUUUGUGGGUGGGUCACGUAACAAGGAAAAAAAUCUUGAGAUGCUAGUUAGCAUACUUAUGGUUUCAUUUAGUGGUUGCUGCAGUUGCGAGGAAACAGGAUGUCUGUACUGUACUGUACAGUGCCCUCCAUAAGUAUUGAAACAAAUAGACAUUUCUUUCUUUUGGACAAACCCGCCCAUGGGACACCUAAUCAACAGCCCACUGGUUAUUUUUAAACAACUCCCCUUUUGGGCUCUCUGCAAGGGUGUAGCAUCAGCAAAAACAUGCAUCUGACAAAAUAAAAAAUACUUAUAAUGUUAGUUAGCUCAUGCUUUGCAAACUAAAGCAAUAGCAUUACUGUAAAAUGCCGUGUUUAUGAAUUCAGAUGACACCACAGUGAUUGGCCAGAUCAGGAACAAUGAUGAAUCGGCCUACAGGGAGGAGAUCCAAAACCUGUCCGCUUUGUGCUCUUCCAACAACCUCACCCUCAAGUCUUAAAAACCAAAGAGUUUAUUGUGGACUUUAGAAAGUCUAAAAGCAGCAGUCACAUCCCUAUCUUUAUCAAUAGGACUAAAGUAAAAUGUGUCAGUUGUCCACAUAUUUGAGGAUCUGUCCUGGCCAGGGGCGGCAUUUGUUUAGCAUACCCUAGCAUUCAUACAAAACACCAGAAAUCAACAGGCUAUAAUGAUGCUCAUUAAAGAUCCUUUUAAAUAUUAUUAGUAGAACAUAUCUGAACAUUGGUACAUCACUAAUAGAGAAAAUUUACAUGUGUGUUCGACUUCAUGCUGUAACACAGGAACCGACAGGCAGAUGACAUCAAAGUGCCGCGAGAGUGGUUCGAAGGCAAACUCUUUCGAUGAUUUCUCUACUCACCCUCGCUGUACUUUGAUGUCAUCCGCCUGUCGUUCUUGCAGCGCAGCUUGAAGUUGAACACAAUCUAUAAUAGUGGGUUUCCCCUGCAGGAGGUCUCAUGAUGACGGCUGCUGUUAUAAUACACUGUCAGAAAUAAAGGUACAAAACUGUACCUUUUCUGUCACUGGGGCUGUACCCUUUCAAAAAGUACAGCUUUGCACCUAAGGAUUUCAUUUUAGUACCUGAGAGGUACAUACUGGGACCAAACAGAGCUUAUCAGUACCUUAAAAAUACAGAUUAGUAUCUCAAAGGUACAUAUUGGUACUAAAUGUUAUCUGUAAUGGUCCAUACAAUUACCUUUUUAAUGGGUGCUGCCCCAUUGACAGCUAGUGUACAUAGACUUUUUUCUAACAAUGUAGGUCCUUAAGGUACAGUAAUCUACCCAAAAUUGUGUAUUGUUUUGUAUUCCUCUAAAGGUACCAAACGGAAACUUAGGGUACAGCCCCAGUGACAAAAAAGGUUACUUUUUACUAAAAGUCUUUAUUGUUUGUUUAUAUAAAGUGUUUAUUGGCGGUUGUCAUGACAAGAUUUGUGAAGGCACAGUAUGUUUUGUUUUGAUAUUAUCUUGUUUUAUCUACCAUGAUUUUCAGUUUCUAUAUUUAUUUUUAUGCUUCCGUAUUGUUGUCUGUAAGUGUACAUCCGUGCAAUCUUAGUAUGAUUUUGUACAGGUUGGUGGAGGAUGUACACAUAUAAUGUGGUUUCAUAGAUCCGUUAUUUGGGAAUGGCCUUCUUGUACGAUGAAAUUUUGCCAUACCCUGGGUUUUCGUGAACGCCACCACUGGUCCUGGCAUCUGAACACAUCAUUACUGGUUAAGCCUCUUUACCAUAUAAAUGCCUGCACAAAGCACAUAACAUUGUCAAGGACUCUUCUCUUCUUAUGUAUGUCUCUAAAGAGUGAAAUCCUGUGAUUGAUAAAAUACUGUAACAAGAAACAUCAUACUGGAAACUUUAAAUGUAAUUUUGCAGGUAAAUGUUUUGCUAUUGCUGCUAAGCAACCUGGGCUAUGCAAAUGGAAUGCUGGUUGUCCUACCCAGUAUUCAGAUUUGUGAACAUUUGAUAUGAGUAAAAUGUGGUUACAGAUUUGUAUUUAGCCAAAAAACAUAUCAGAAUAUUGUUUGAAAUUUUCCUUUGCAUAUUUUUUUUUUUUUUGUCAAAAAUGACAAUUGUUUUGCUAGAUAGGACCCUUAUGCCAUUGGCUUGACAUGAUGUGCUGUGACAUCAGAAAGGAUUCAU